CACAAGCAGGGAUAGAAGCCCCACCACUUAUGCUACAUAAUGACAUCUCCGCCUUGGACUUGUGCACAAGUUUGUGCUCCUUGGGUGGCUAGCAGUUCAUUGGAAAUAGAGGAGAUAAGCCUGAAGGUGAGAUCUUAGAAGAAGGCAGUUCCUCAUGCACAGCUCGUCAAUCCUGACUUGGUUGGAAAAUGAAAUCAUAGAAUGCCCAAAUCAAAGGAGAGUUGAUUCCGGGAAGGGUAAAGGGUGAUGUCAAGGGCCAGGAAAAUGGCAGCCUGUGUCUGUGACGGUGGACCCGUCACCAGCCCUGCUCGCUCACCUCCCCGGUACUCCGAGUUGUUCCGCCAGUCCGUCAGGUCGAUCUCGGCCGUGCCAGCGAUCACCAGCUCCAGCUCCCUGGCGUCAAACACGGAGACCAGCCUCGAGUCCACCACCUGAAACCCAGGUUAGGCUUCAGCACACAGGCCCGAUCAAUCAAGAGGUGAUACUCCUUGUUAUUAUUUCUGUGGGUUAAGCUGGGCAGCAGACCACUGUCGACUUUUUUUCCCCCAACAUGCUAUCGUCUUUAAGUUCAAAAUCACGACUUGAACAUUUUGAAACACAACCCGUUCAUGACCUGGGAACUCAAAAAAGGCCCCCGGCUUUUCAUCUCCCUCUGAGACUCCCUCUCAGAAUGGUAUUAUGAACAAGCCUGACUCGACUUUUUCGCGCCCCACUUAGGUUUCCAAGUCACAUUGCGUUUUAAAUGCAAAAGGUCCAAGUUGCCUUGAAAUGAUUCAUUAGCUGUGAGUGUUACCACUUUACCUAAAAGAGAUCCUCUCUUUUAUGUAAAACUAGGGCCUACUUCCUAGGAAUGGCUAUUAUACAUUACAAAGACCAUCUUUUCCUUCCCUUCUCCCCUCACUUCCUCCCCUCACGUCCUCCCCUCCCUCCUCCAAAGAUCUGGGAGGGUUCUGAGCUCCAGCUUUACAUCUUGUUGCCAAAUGUGUCAGGUACAACUGCACACCUGCCGUGGGUCCCUCCUUCAGUCAGACCAGUGACCCAUCCUGUUCUCCAUCACGGCAGCAAAGAAAACCUCUGACACCCAGGCCCUGAGGAACCACGGACAGCCUCUUGUUUCUAAACUGGAAAAGUUUAAGGAUGUCAAUUUUUGGUGCACAGGAGUGAGACAGGAGGGAAGCAGGCAGUAAUCAACACCAAGAUGGCAGAAGACUCAACUCCAGGAGGCUCAGCCUGCCCACGUCUGGACAGGAGGUGCCAUGUGCUUUCCCAUCUGGCACAGCGGGGCCACAUGGAUGCUGCUUCUGGGAGAGUGUCUGUCACCGCCCACUAGAGCUGGCUUAAUCAGAGACCCCUGCCCCCUGCCCACCGACCCCCAGGAGGUCCGCUCUGCACGCUGGUCAGUAGAGCUGAGCCCCGUUCCCGCCUCGCCUCGCCUCCCUCCUCCUCCCGCUCCUCCUCCCGAGCUGUCCGGGCGGCGCCUCACCUCGUAG